ACGCUGGCGGCACGCCUAACACAUGCAAGUCGAACGAAGUAGCAAUACUUAGUGGCAGACGGGUGAGUAACAUGUGGGUAUCUGCCCUUUGGCCUGGAAUAACACGAGGAAACUUGUGCUAAUACCGGAUAAGUCUUUACGGAGAAAGCUUUAUGCACCAUUGGAUGAGCCCGCACUUGAUUAGUUUGUUGGUGGGGUAAUGGCCUACCAAGACUUUGAUCAAUAGCUGAUUUGAGAGGAUGAUCAGCCACAUUGGGACUGAGACACGGCCCAAACUCCUACGGGAGGCAGCAGUGGGGAAUCUUGCACAAUGGAGGAAACUCUGAUGCAGCGAUGCCGCGUGAGUGAAGAAGGCCCUUGGGUUGUAAAGCUCUUUCGUCGGGGAAGAAAAUGACUGUACCCGAAUAAGAAGGUCCGGCUAACUUCGUGCCAGCAGCCGCGGUAAUACGAAGGGACCUAGCGUAGUUCGGAAUUACUGGGCUUAAAGAGUUCGUAGGUGGUUGAAAAAGUUGGUGGUGAAAUCCCAGAGCUUAACUCUGGAACUGCCAUCAAAACUUUUCAGCUAGAGUUUGAUAGAGGAAAGCAGAAUUUCUAGUGUAGAGGUGAAAUUCGUAGAUAUUAGAAAGAAUACCAAUUGCGAAGGCAGCUUUCUGGAUCAUUACUGACACUGAGGAACGAAAGCAUGGGUAGCGAAGAGGAUUAGAUACCCUCGUAGUCCAUGCCGUAAACGAUGUGUGUUAGACGUUGGAAAUUAAUUUUCAGUGUCGCAGCGAAAGCGAUAAACACACCGCCUGGGGAGUACGACCGCAAGGUUAAAACUCAAAUGAAUUGACGGGGACCCGCACAAGUAGUGGAGCAUGUGGUUUAAUUCGAAGAUACGCGCAGAACCUUACCAACACUUGACAUGUUCGUCGCGACUUUAAGAGAUUAAAGUUUUCGGUUCGGCCGGACGAAACACAGGUGCUGCAUGGCUGUCGUCAGCUCGUGUCGUGAGAUGUUGGGUUAAGUCCCGCAACGAGCGCAACCCUCACUUUUAGUUGCCAUCAUUUAGUUGGGCACUCUGAAAGAACUGCCAGUGAUAAGCUGGAGGAAGGUGGGGAUGACGUCAAGUCCUCAUGGCCCUUACGUGUUGGGCUACACACGUGCUACAAUGGUAUCUACAACAGGAAGCGAAACAGCGAUGUUAAGCAAAUCCUUAAAAGAUACCUCAGUUCGGAUUGCACUCUGCAACUCGAGUGCAUGAAGCUGGAAUUACUAGUAAUCGUGGAUCAGCGUGCCACGGUGAAUGCGUUCCCGGGUCUUGUACACACCGCCCGUCACACCAUGGGAGUUGGUUCUACCUUAAGGCAAGGUUUAAUACCCUUGACCACGGUAUAGUCAGCGACUGGGGUGAAGUCGUAACAAGGUAGCC
rnacentral:rRNA from 1 species